ACAGAUUCGUUCUUCCCCCUUACUCUGCUCUCCAGGAAUUGGCUUUUUACAAACAUUUCCAAGGCUACUUUCGUCAACUGCCGUCAAGCUAGGUGGGAUAAAUGGGAAGCUGUGAUAUGAGUUUGGGGCCAAAGAAAGGGAUAAGUCGAGCUGGCCACACAACCGUCUCACUGCUUCAGGAAGUAGCCUGAUCUCUCUGUGGUUCUAAUUCUAAUCAGGGUUCUAAACAGCCGCUCCCACUGUGAUGUCACCUUCUGCUGUGUGGCCCUUGUUCCUUGGCUCUUUUAAUAUCUUUGCCUUCUCCCGUUGCCCUCCAGGUCUAGGAAUGGAAGUGUUUUGCUGAUGUAGCUAAUGUUGGGGUCAAAGAAAGAAUAUAAUACACUUAUGAAAAAGAGACAGCCUCAUCAAUCCAGUUUUUCUUGGCUCAGUCAGCAGAAGAAACAGAAAUGCUGUCAUUGCUUACAUGUGAGAUAAAGGAUAAAAAGAGGGAAUGUGUUGGUUUACUGCAAAGGCCAUUCUUUUGGUUUGAGAACAUUGCUGGAAAUAACCUGAGCUGAGAAAAGCUCCCUAUGAGGAAUACAUGUUAUGGGAAACUGUUAAAGGCAAAGCUUGGUCACUGACCUUCUCCGUGUAGUUUAAUCAAGCUGCAAGCACCCCACCAAAAAAGACAGCUGCUUAAAGAAGAGAGCCCUCAACAAGCCAGGACAUUUUACCUUUCCUCUAUUACAUGAGUUGGGGAUAAGACACAAGUGCGCAAUAAAUUUCUAGUUCUCGCAUUCAGAGGCUGCACUAUAAUAAUGAUAGACUAUAAAUCACAGAAAAAAUGUUACCUUUAUUUUAGGACGGUCGAUAGCUAGAAACAGUGCUCACCAAUAGCACAGAUGUCUAGCAGAUAUAAAAACAAAUGCUUGGCAGUUGUUUAAAAAUGGGAAGUACGAGGAUCUGCCCCGAAAUAUAUUAGAAAACAGCAGCAGUUCAUCGUUUUGUCAAGUUUCCAGUUUUGCAAUUUACUAUUUUUUUAAAAAAAAAUCCCGUGUUCCGUUGUUGAAGAUAGAACUGCAACUUUGGGAAAGAGAAAAAAUUUUGGUCACGCAUUUCUGCAAAACUCUUGUAAACAUUUGUGGAUGGUAUCUACAUACACGAGCUUUUAUAUAAAUGUGUUUUAAAGUUUAAGGAAAAUUGAACGUGAGGAAUUGAAGUAAGAUGAGGCUGUAUACGAAUGGGAGGCUCCUGCAAGGACCCGAGGGGACUGGAACUAGGAUUUCAAUGUGCCAACUAUUAGCUAAUUGUGAAGAUGACACUGCCUGGCCAGACUCAGAGUCCACAUCCCAGCGGCUGCCUCAAAAGAGCUGUUAGAAGAAGAAAAUGCUCAUUUGUUGCAACUGAGACCAUGUGCUCUGAAAUCCAGUCAUGGGCAUUGGAAAUGGAGAUCCCUCUAAAAACUGUGGCAAUGCUGAGGGUCCAAGAGGCUCUUGAUACCACUCCUGGAGAGGUUGUUUUCUCUGGAAGCAGGAACUGAGAGUGAAUUUGGAUUAUCGUGAUCAAUAUGGAAGUAAAAUCUACAAGUUCAAAUGAGACUUAGAGUUAUUCUCUGAAGAUUUAGCAACAAAGACUGCCAAGUGUUUAAUCAAAAGGCAAUGUACAAGGGGCCAGGGAUACAGUGAUGAGCAAAAAGAUUUCUGUGCCUUCAUUGACCCUAUAUUUUAGCAAGAGAGACAGAUUGCAUUUUCUCACGAUAAAAAUGGAUAGUUGUGGCUUGGAAAAUGGGAAACUGGACCAACUAUGAACUAGAGCAAAGUUGAAGACAACUCUAAAUGUUUCGAGAGUAUUUUUGGUAAUUCCCUGAGCUUUCCUGACAAUUGGUCCUUCUACCCUCACUGCAUCCUGUGGGAUAAUGUUACAUACCCGAAGUCCGGGAGGCAGCACGGUGCAACUUCAGGGGUAGUAGCAGUUUUCCUUUUUUGUUUUUUUUUCAAUUAAACGGUUUUUCCGAGAAAACCUAAUUAUUUAAUAGUGUUGUAGCUCUGAAGUUGUGAGUUGAUUCGAGAUAUUUGGAGUUCUGGUUCUGUGAGGCUUAGCUACAUGUGGCUAUUGGAUCACAUAUCCGCUCCCCUGCCAUGUAAGAUGAAAACACGUUGGAAUAUAACUAUUGGUUGGCUUUGUG
ensembl:lncRNA